rnacentral:rRNA from 1 species
GGUGGAGUGACUUGUCUGGUUAAUUCCGAUAACGAACGAGACUCUAGCCUACUAAAUAGAUUGCCGGCUUACAUUGACACGCCGGCAACUCGCUUCUUAGAGGGAUUUGCGGUGUUUAGCCGAAAGAAAUUGAGCAAUAACAGGUCUGUGAUGCCCUUAGAUGUCCGGGGCUGCACGCGCGCUACACUGGCAAAAUCAACGUGCUUGUCCUUCCCCGAAAGGGGCGGGUAAACCAUUGAAAAUUUGCCGUGAUUGGGAUCGGAAAUUGCAAUUAUUUUCCGUGAACGAGGAAUUCCAAGUAAGUGCGAGUCAUCAGCUCGCGUUGAUUACGUCCCUGCCCUUUGUAC